rnacentral:lncRNA from 1 species
AGAAUGUCCAGGCGUUCCCCUUUUACAUGCCUCAGGUUACUUUAAAUAGUUUAAAUCAAUAAAGAUGAAUGCUACAGUUUAUUUUCUGUGAUAACUGUUCCUCCCCAUCAUAAAUCAUUCUUCAACCUUUCAUUCAGUUUGCUGAGUGCAUUUUGGACGGUUCUCCGCUGGAGUUUCAUGAAUCACCUUCCAGCUUUAAUGCGAUUCGACGGGAGAUUGCAGUCUGUCUUCUGGAGAAUACAGAUGACUUGACUGACCUUUGUCAUCUCUGCAGGAUGGCGACACUCACUGAGUAACUGCUGAUGUUUUACAUGUUCAGCUUAAAGGAUGAUCACCACAAGGCAACAUUGCAUCACUAUCUCACCAUAAUAUUUUAGUUUUGUCUUUUGUCCAUUCAGAUUGGCUGCUGUGCCCUCGAUGGUUUCACAGGAGCUGUGCCAAGAGACCAGACCCAGAGGAUGCAAACAUUUUUCUGCCUCGCAUGCCAGUAAUAAAAUGUAUUAUUAAAAUGUUUUAAUAUUAUUUUGUUCUGAGGCUGUUUUUGUUGCAAUAUUUGAUUUUCCCGG